rnacentral:rRNA from 1 species
GCCGGGGUUUCUUUACCAGAUACUGUCAUUAUCAUCUCUGGCGAAAGAGCUUUACGACCCUAAGGCCUUCGUCACUCACGCGGCAUGGCUAGAUCAGGCUUGCGCCCAUUGUCUAAGAUUCCCC